AGUGCCUCUGAAUGGCAGUUGCUGGGGAGCAACAGUUGGGGAGAGUUGUUGUCUUCUGGCCAUCACUGUGAGCUCUCCAAAGGCAUCCGGUUGGCCAGAGGGGAAAGCAGAAUGCUGGAAGAGAUGGGAACUUUGGUCUGAGCAGGCAAGUUCCUUCUUACACUCAUAAGGGACAAGUUGGCUAGAAGUUUAAAGAUCAAAGCUACAAUGGUGUGACUUUCUAAAGAAAAAAACAAAGCCAAAAUCUGAUCAAGGCAAAUUGCCACCUGCUUGUUCUGUACCAUUUAUUUCACUUCCAGAAACCAGAUUUGGGAAGAGGUUAGGGAAAAGUUCAUAGCUGGGUUGCCUCCUUCCAGCUUGACAAACCAUACACCACCCAUCUCAUCCCUCUGCAAAAGCAACUAGGAUACCCAAUAGUUUAUUAUUAUUAUUAUUAUUAUUAUUAUUAUUAUUUAUUUGUACCCCGCCCAUCUGGUUGGGUUUCCCCAGCCACUCUGGGUGGCUUCCAACAAAGAUUAAAAAUACAUUACAUUUUUGGUCCUGAUGGGCAUAAAAUACCCCUUUUAUGUGCUAGGGAAACCUUAUUUCCCUGCAACAAAAAGCUUUAUCUUGAAAAAACUGUGUCUGGACUGGACCUACCCAGAAACAACUGAAAAUAGCUGCAUUAUCGUCCCAGAAACUUAAAUCAGAAAAAAAACCUUCUAUCUUAUUUUGAAAUCCAACACGGCAGCAUUCAAAUAUUGUUUUACUUUACUUCUCAACAGUAGUAUUCAGGAGGAAUGUGUGGUGUAGACAUACCAUCCCCCAUCUUCCUUUACGAGCACUUUUGUACUAUGACAUAUUCCCCCCCUAUAUGAGUGUAGCCUUUACACUUGUAAUUGUUCCCAAGAGAGCAGCUCCUGGGAAGUGAUGCUUUGCCACUUUACCUCUCACACCAUAAAUGCAAGCGUGAGUGUUCUCAGCAAUUCCCAAGACUCCUUCAGCCCCUAAUUAGCUCUCAAAGCCAAUUAAGCACAAGUAUUUAACACGUUCUCUUAAUUUCAGUUGGGAUAGUUCAGAUUCCUACCAACAGAGUUUCAUUCGUUGUCUCAGAGAUCCCAUGUCACAAGAAGGGAAGACAGUCCUUGUCUGGGGAAAAGGUGGGACAUAAAUAAAUAUAAUAGUAAGGCUAACAAUAAUGUUGUUGUUGUUUAGUCGUUUAGUCGUGUCCGACUCUUCGUGACCCCCUGGACCAGAGCACGCCAGGCACUCCUGUCUUCCACUGCCUCCCGCAGUUUAGUCAAACUCAUGCUGGUAGCUUCGAGAACACUGUCCAACCAUCUCAUCCUCUGUCGUCCCCUUCUCCUUGUGCCCUCCAUCUUUCCCAACAUCAGGGUCUUUUCCAGGGGUCUUCUCUUCUCAUGAGGUGGCCAAGGUAUUGGAGCCUCAGCUUCAGGAUCUGUCCUUCCAGUGAGCACUCAGGGCUGAUUUCCUUCAGAAUGGAGAGGUUUGAUCUUCUUGCAGUCCAUGGGACUCUCAAGAGUCUCCUCCAGCACCACAAUUCAAAAGCAUCAUUUAUUCAAUAAUAGAAAUGUGUAUAUCAAACUAAAAUAUGUAUUCAAAUAUGUAUUUAGUGAUAAAAUGCCUGUUUUCACGUGGAUUUUUUGGAGGGGAAAUUCACAGACGAAUGCAGAAACAAGGCAGAACAGACUUAGGCAUGUAUAAAUGUGAAAUUGAGAUGGGCCCAAAAUGGCAGAGGGCCUGGUCUGCCUGCUCCACUUCUGCCUUCCACCAAUUGUCACCAUAGUAGCCAGACCAUGGCUGUGGCAGUAACUCCAUUCCCAGCCUCUUCUCUCUUUUUUUGUAUAUCUUUUUUUUUAAUUUUCUGUUUUGCAAUUUAAAGAACUCAUUUUUACAUCCUUAAGAUAUCAGUGACUUCCCUUCUUCUCUUUCCAUGGUUCAUUUCACAUAUCAUAAAUCCCUGUAUAUUUUACAAAAGCUAUACCAUUCAGUAUUCCAUUAUUGCAUCCAUCAAAACUUGUUUACACUGUUGAAUUUAUCUUAAUACUGCCAGCAUUUUCAGCUGUGCACAAUUAUUUCAUUCCCAACCUGUUCUCAAUAAGCCUUUUAGGGAGGUAGGAAUGGUUUUUAGAGAAGUCUCAAAAUUCUGUUAGUCAUGUGCAUCAGUGCUGGCUUCAAGGGGGCGAGGAUCUUUGGGCCCUGUGGCGUUUGCCUCCUAGGUGGGUCAUAAGGAAAGGGUUAAAAUGAGUGUGAUGUGAUUGGCCAGUGGAAACUGAUAGGAGGAGUUAGGGUUAGAGGGAGAGUUGUGUGAAAGUCAGUUGAGAGUUGGGAGUUGAAGAAGGAAGAGGGAGGAAUAGUCUGUGGGUUGGUCGAGUUGUGUGGUGAAAGAGUGAGAGGAAUUAUUAGGUGGAGUCAGAUAGUUAGUCGGGAUAAUCAGUUUGAAGUUCUUAGGAAUGAAUAGGACAGUUAAGGAACUAAGAUUAAGAAACUGCCAAGGAAAAUUAACUGUAACCAUAAGCUUGUUCAUGCCUAUAAAAUAAACUUGAUUAUUUGUUAAUGUUAACAGCUGACUGGAUUCCGUGUGUACCCGUGAGGAGAAACGGGUUGGUGGCAGCGAAGAAAGCUAUUACAGUGGUGGCACAGGGUCAAUAGACCGUCAAACGUCCGGGGACCCUGUGUGAUCGCCACAGGCCCCCUCAAUCUUUUUAUUUUUGAGAGGGUCAGGGCCCCCCAUUAUCAAGGCCAAAUGUGAAACCAGAUGUGGAGCGAUGUCAAGACAUCGCGCCGGGCCUCAAUGUCCAUUGGCUGCACCCAAAAACAUUACUCCAGAAUGCAGCACAAGAUUCAACUAGUGCAGAACUUACUUGCAUCUCUUGAAAUUAAAAGCACUUAUCUUUGCCUGGAUUGAGCUUUUAUUAUCUAGAAAGGCCCAGCUUGUCCACAGUCACCAUAUGGCGCUAACAAAGCCAAACGCUGCAUUUUCUGCAGAGUGCUAAUUAAGGUGCCCUUGACCAAACCUUCUGAAAAAACAAAAACGUGGUUUGAAACCUGUCAGGCACCAUCUUCUGCAGAAGGGGAAAGGGAAUUCUAUGAUUCUAUGAAAGGAGGUAAAACUUCAUACAGGAAAAUGCACUUAUGAAAUGCCAGAGGCAUAGAAUCACAGAACCAUGGCAUUGCAGAGCUGGAAGGAACCCCAUGGGGUUGUCUGCUCCAACCCCUGCAAUGCAGGAAUCACAACUAAAGAAUCCUGACAGAUGGACCUCCAGGUCAAUUAGGCCUUUUUCAAGAGCACCAAAAAAUGAAAAAAAUCCUGCCGUGGCAACAUUACCCAAACAACUCAAACAUUUAGUGAUGUUGCCUUAGUAGGAAAACAACAACACUGUGCCCCUGAAGAACACAGGAAGAUGCCUUAUAACAAGUCAGACUGCUGCUCCAUCUAGCUCAGUACAGUGGAUGCUUGGAUUGCGAACAUGAUCCAUGAGGGAAGCACGUUCGCAACCCGCAGUGUCUGCAACACAUCUGCACACGCGCAGGUUGUGAUUCGGCGCUUCUGCGCAUGCACAAAGCGUGAUUUAGCGCUUCUGCACAUGCGCAAAUGCAAGUGCUGAAACCCAGAAGUAACCCUUUCUGGUACUUCCGGGUUCAGCGUGGUGAGCAACCUGAAAUCACACAACCCGAAGCGUCUGUAACCCGAGGUAUGACUGUACCUGUCUAUACAAACUGGAAGUAAUAAUACUAACAACAACAUCAACAUUUAUACCCCACCAAUCUGGCUGGGUUUCCCCAGCCACUCUGGGCGGCUCCUAAGAAAAUAUUUAAAACACGAUAAAGCAUCAAACACUAAAAACUUCCCUAAACAGGGCUGCCUUCAGAUGUCUUCUAAAAGUCAGAUAGUUGAUUAUUUCCUUGACAUCUGAUGGGAGGGUGUUCCACAGGGCUGGCGCCACAACCGAGAAGGCCCUCUGCCUGGUUCACUGUAACCUCACUUCUCGCAGUGAGGGAACCGCCAGAAGGCUGUCGGAGCUGGACCUCAGCCUCCGGGCAGAACGAUGUGGGUGGAGACGCUCCUUCAGGCAUACUGGGCCGAGGCCAUACCUGUCUCAGUACCUGAUUACACAAACUGGAAGUAUCUCUCCAUGGUUUCAGGCUUGGGGGAGGGGGUUGAACCUUGGUCCUUCUACAUGCAAAACAGAUGCUCUACCACUGAGUUAUAUUUUUGCCAAAAUGUGAUGGGCAUUUUAUAAGCACGUUUUAUUAUUUUGAAGAAAUUCUUUUUUUCCGUACUGUUUUGAGGUACGGCCCGCUUGAUUUUUCCCUCCUGCUGUUUGAUCUGCCAUCCCUUCCUCACCACGCAAACCCCACUUGCCUUCCGCAGAGAAAGUAGAUAGGAUCAAUAUCCCCGUAAGGUUUUUAGACUACUGAGAGGGAGACACUUGGCUCAACCAUCAGCUUUAAAGUGACACUGAGAGAAACAGAGAGGAAGGUGUGGCUUCAAAAGUAGAUCGAGAAGUCAAUGCAAACACUUCAAGGGCAGCUGUACUCAGAGGCUCACCUCAAACAGCAUUAAUAUUGAUGUUGUCAGAGAUACAGCCAAGGGCAGGCCUGAUCAGCAAGGAGUUGUCUGUCAUUGCGGGGUGUAAACAGUCUGAGGAGAAGAGAUGUCUGUGUGUUGUGUGUUGUGAGGAGGUAUAAAAGCCAUUCAAGUUUUUUAAAUAUCUUUGAUGGCUCAUUGUGUUUUUAUAUUUUGCUGGAAGCCGCCCAGAGUGGCUGGGGCAACCCCGUCAGAUGAAUGGCAUUCAAGAAUAACAUUAUUAUUAUUAUUAUUAUUAUUAUUAUUAUUAUUAUUUGGUUGUUCUUCUGUGUUUCCCCAGUGUUACCACAUCAUUGCCAUCUGGAGGUGCAAUCUUGUGCUAUAGCUCAACGAAAGCAGGAUUAAAAAUAAAGGGGAACAUUUGUGGUACAAAACAGUCACAGGAUUUCAGCAGGAAGUUAUGGGGCACGGAACGACUGGAAACAAAGUCGUAUGUCUGUCCAAAAGCUUUUGCAGACGUGAACAGUAUUGAAAGCUGAAUCACACAUAACUGCCCUGAUACUAUCAUGAGCAUAAAUUGUUGCCAAUGCACAAUAAAAAAAGGAUUUCUGGAAGUGCCCGUACAGCUGUUCCCAAGGCCAAAUCUGUUCCAGUGAGUGCUAGUUUGCCACCUCUGUUUUAAAGUCUGGCUAAGCUUAGGGAAGGGACGCGGGUGGCGCUGUGGGUUAAACCACAGAGCCUAGGACUUGCCUAUUAGAAGGUCGGCGGUUUGAAUCCCCGCGACGGGGUGAGCUCCUGUUGCUCAGUCCCUGCUCCUGCCAACCUAGCAGUUCGAAAGCACGUCAAAGUUCAAGUAGAUAAAUAGGUACUGUUCCGGUGGGAAGGUAAACGGCAUUUCUGUGCGCUGCUCUGGUUUGCCAGAAGCAGCUUAGUCAUGCUAGCCACAUGAUCCGGAAGCUGUACGCCGGCUCCCUCGGCCAAUAAAGCGAGAUGAGCACCGCAACCCCAGAGUCGGUCAUGACUGGACCUGAUGGUCAGGCGUCCCUUUACCUUUUAAGCUUAGGGAGAAUUAGUUAGUUAGUUAGUUGGUUGGUUGGUUGGUUUAUAACAGCAGCCUUCAAUUUUGUAUCCUGCAUUCCACACCUGAGUAAUGAGAGACAGUCUCAAAAUGCUAUUUCGGUUCAUAUGCAACAACAAGGACAAACUCAGCCAUCUGAAUGAUCUCUUGAAACUCUCCUCUCAUGGUGCUAUCUAUGCUUUCUUUCUCUGAGAAUAAUAAUAAUAUUUAAAAACCCAGCCCCAUACCCACUUUCUAACCAACGGUGUUCAACACACUUGGAAGAAAGGCUGAGAUUAAAUAUUUGCCUUUUGAGAAGUCAUUUGCAUUCCAGCUACAGACACACUUCACCUUCUUGGAACUGGCUCAGAAUUCCAAGCAGCCCCACAUUUCUUUUUAUUGGGAAGAUGCCCAAGCCGGCACGAUUCGUCAGCCUGGGUUUGCCUUUCAGAGUAUAAGCAUUGUAUGUUUCAGGACCUUGCCUGCAUCCAACUUCAAUGCCUCCAUUUUGUGCCGAUUUGCGUGCAGUUUGUCAAUUUGACCUUUGACGGGAGCAUUUCCAAACCUGCUCUACCUGUGGAGCCAGCAAAGGGAUCAGCUCAUCUGUGAGGAACCUGUGGAGCAAUCUGCAUUUUUUUUCUAACAGCAGAAAAACAAGCUGAAACAACUUAAUUGGGCAGGAAGAACAGGUUUCUUUGCCAAAGGAAAAUAAACUUCUUGCUCUCACUGCCUGAAGAAGACUGCAAGAAUAGCGGGUGGGGGUGAAUUGUCAAGAGGGCUGUCAGCUUUUUCUGCUCCCAUGAGUUUAACAACACCUUCACAGGCAGAAGUGUGGCAGGCAAAGCCUUUCCUGGCAUGUAGAUAACUUCACCUACUUAAUUUCUCAGGCUGCUGUUGAAGACACCCUGGACUGGUAAUACACACCCUCCAACAUUUCUCCAAUGAAAAUCGGGACAUCCUAUUUUAUUUUUUUAUUAUUAUUAUUAUUAUUAUUAUUAUUAUUAUUGACACUUGGGUUGCGAAUGUACUCCGUGCGGGAAGCACGUUUGCAACCCGCAGUGUUCGCACAUGUGGGUUGCAAUUCGGUGCUUCUGCGCAUGCGCAAAACGCGAUUUAGUGUUCCUGCGCAUGUGCGAGCGCCGAAACCCAGAAGUAACCCGUUCCGGUACUUCCGGGUUCGGCGUGGUGCGCAACCCGAAAACGCGCAACCUGAAGCGUCUGUAACCCGAGGUAUGACUAUAUUAUUAUUAUUAUUAUUACUAUUAUUAAUACCCCGCCCAUCUAACUGGGUUACCCCAGCCACUCUGGCAGCUUCCAAAAUAUAUAAAAACAUAAUAAAACAUUAAACAUUUUAUAAAAAAAACCUUCCCUAUACAGGGCUGCCUUCAGAUGUCUUCUAAAUGUUAUUUGGUUACUUAUCUCCUUGGCUCGGAGGUCACAUAAGGCCAUGCCCUCUAACAUUUCUCCAGUGAAAAUGGGGACGUCCUAAGGAAAUGUGGGACAUUCCAGGAUCAAAUCAGAAACUGGUACAGCUUCUGUAAAUCUGGGACUGUCCCUGGAAAAUAGGGGCCUGGAGAGUCUGCAUGGAGAGUCUGGUAAUAGGGGUGGGGUGUUAUGAGGAAAUAUGGGGUUGGCUUUUACAGCCCAACUCCCCAUCAAGGGACCCAGUGUGACCCAAGUUCUUUAUCGGCCAGAGAAGAAUGAGUGGAGGCAGGAAACUGUUGAAGAAAGCAAGGCAGAACUUUAUUUUCUGUUGGAACUGAGUCCACCACCCCCCCUUUGCAAGAAGGUGAGGGGACCCAGAAAAAAGGUGUGUAGCAGCUUUGAAAGGCUUUAGAAAUUGUCUGAGACAACCAUCAUCCAAACGUCAGAGAAAAGAGGCAGAAAUAUGAGGGUGUGACCUGCCUGCUGUCUGUCAAGAUACCUGAUCAUGCUUUCCUGGCCAGUGUGGGCCAUUCUUUAGGAAUGGUUCUUGAAUCCAUUAUCAUACCUAUCCCUGCUCAUACACAGAAGAUGCUCUUUUGACAGGUCUGCUCCACUUGUCAGACAGGUUUCACAGAGGGGUGGUGAAAAGUUAAUUUAUUUACAGGAUCUGAGGGAUUAGCAAGUGGAAGGAACAAAUGUCUAUCAGGAAAGGUUUUAUUGAGAACUUCCUACUAUCUGUUUUGGAGGGGGUUUCAGAGUUCAACUGUAGGCUAAAAAUGGCUUUGGUCUUGCUCUCCGUACUAUUUCAGACAUGUGGUUUGUGUGUGUGUGUGUGUGCGUGUCAUUUGUGACAGCUUAGAAUUUUUAUAACGGGGAAUUUGAUGCAGUGCAUAUUUAAAGGCAAACCUACCUGAUUUGCAAUUUUCUAAACAAUAUGCAAACUGAAACACAAGUAUCCUUUGAAAUUUGCAUUUCUCUGAAUUUUGCAAUGCAAAAUCAGUCCAGUGAAUAUUGUCAGCCCUAAUUAUGCCCGUUCCCCAAUUUGCAUUGUGUUUCCUUUGCAUUGAAAUGAAUGGUAGUAAUAUCAUAACAUUGCAAAAUAUUGACAGACCAGAGGCCCCCUAAACAACAAUACAAAGGAAGAAAAAAUGAUACCAACUACAUUCAGCGCACAAUUUGAAUGAAAUAGACACGUCUCCUUCAGCAGUUAAUAACACUGCUUCUAGUAUGGAUAUGUAUCUGAACAACAGGCUAUUGCACUGUGGCUGCCAUUCAUUUAAGUCUCAUAAUGACUCCUAUUUCAACACAGAAGAGAGCAUUUGGAUUAAUGAUGCCCAAAAUAGUCAAUGCACAGAUCUCCGAUAAUACCCAGCAUGCAUUGCACUACUUUUACACCAAACCAUUUUUCAUGCAGUUUCAUUGAUCGCAUUUCAUUAUUUAAACUAUCUUCUUUCUAAUGAGGCCCUGAUCACCAAGCCAUACAAGAGGAUGAGGUGCGAUAAGCAUAUUAGUUUCAACACUUGCUUCCAAGGAUAGUAAAACCAGCAAAGCCCUGUGCGCGAAUGCUGAUACUUACUAAGCUUGCUUUCGUAUUAAACUGCAGUGUUCCUUUCCAACAUGGAACACAGCUUGUCCAUUGUGGUGGGGGGGCGUGCCCUAGUGAAGUACUGUUAAUGUUCUGAUACACACAAUAUGGGCACUUCCAGAUGACCUGUUUCUUGAGCAUUCAGCCUGAUACACUUGCAAGGAGAUUAGAUUAAGCCAGCAUUCAACAUGAUUUGUUGGUGGGAAGGUUAGACAAUGCAUCAAGUGUCAUCCCAUACUUUCCAGUGCAUUUCCCCACCAUGUUCUUUAUCGUAAAAAGUCUGAUAAUUCCAGGAAGUGGGCUUGUUGCACAAUACCUCCCAGUCAACUGUAUUUGCAUACCCUCCAACAGCCCACUGAUCAAAAUUGGGAUGCUCGCAUUUUGGUCCUUAGCUCCUCAUAGGCGACUUGUACAAGCCUGCAAGACCAAAAAAUGAACAUCUUUUGGUCUGGCUCUCUGGUGUGAGCCAGAUGAUUUGUGUGAGAGUGCAAGACCCCCCAAAACCCUGAGCAUCUUUUGGUCCAGUGCUCUGGCACAAGCUAGCUGACUCGCAUCAGUGGAACAGACCCAAAAACAGGACAUUCCCGAAUCCAAUCAGAAGCCAGUCAGGAUGGCUUCUGUAAUUUCAGGCUGUCCUCCUUAAAUUGGGAUGGUUGAGGUGUAUGUAUUUGUGCAAUCUGGCCUCAUGGAUCAAACGGAGAGGCCUGGUGGGCCCAAUUUGGCUCACAGGCCAGAGAUUUCACACCCACGCAUUAGAAAAUAGUGACAGGCUGUCACUAUUUUCAGGGCAUACUAAAGAAAUACUGUAUCUGUUUUAAUAAAAGAGCUGUUUAGCUUACUGUGCCUUUCAUUUUCCACUAUGGCAAAAUGAUAUUGGCUGAACAAAAUAUGCUUGCUGCGAGCAAAUGCUGCACCUGUGUCCAUUCAUCCUCUAAGCUUUCGCUGUCAAAACACGCAUCUUCCUAGAAGCAGAUAUUGUCCUGUGUUUUUGUUGCUAAACCAAAGCCACUCUGAAAGCUUGUGUUAACAACCACAUGGAACCAGAGGCAGGGGCACCCAAAGAGACAAAGACAAAUCCCUUAUGAUCCAAGACCCCCAAUUCCAAUAGCAAACCUGAAAGCAGGGGGCCCGGCUGGGGACAGUGGGAUUAUGGACUUCUAGAACAAUAAUACAGAAUUCCUGGUUUAGGAACCUCAUGUGUGUAACCAGGGUGUGUCAAUGCGUAAUUUAUUUUCAUUUCCCAACACAAUCCUUUGGAUUCUGGAUAGGGGCUGUUAACACAAAUCUCCUGGAGCAAUAAAUCAGGCCCAAUGAACGACGUCUUGCUGCCUGACUCAAAGGACAAGUCGUCCCCUGCCCCAUUCCGCAUACAGAAGCCAGCCAGACUAGCGAUUGAAUCUUGCUUCAACACUGGCAAUGAGAUAGUGUCCUCUACUAUGCCAGAGGGCAUAGGCUGAUUUAAGGAAAUAUUGUUCAACCUUUGGAAAAAGGCCUGUAGCUCAGUGGCAGAGCAUCCACUUUGCGUGCAGAAGGGACAGUCUGAAAGUCCCCUGUUUUCACAUUCAUGAAGGCCCUGGGUUCAAUCCCUGCCAUCUCCCGGUCCAGCUGGUAAAACACCCCAGUCUGAAAUCCUGUGGAGCCACUACCAAUCAGUGUAGAUGAAGCUGAGCUCUAUGGACUGUUGUAAACAAAUAUCUGCCCUUUCCCCCUUAAUGGGGUAUCCAAGAGCCCAUAUAGGUUCCUUAUUGGUAGGAGAAAAUAACAGAGGCCAACCAGAGAAUAUUAAGAAACAAGGCUGCUAGUAAGCCUGAUCUUUAUUGAUCUGUUGCAACAGGGUGAUCCCCUCACACACGGGAAAGGAGGAACCCAGAACCAAGGUGUGCCUGCCCUGGAGCUCAAGACCACCCCUCCAUACAUCAUACAUACCUCACGGAAGGGGUGUAACCCAAGACCACCCCCCAGAUACAUCAUACCUACAUCACAGAAAAGGUGGUCUACAGCAGAAAUCUGAGUGCGUUGUUUAUCUUGUCUGACAGGUUACCUGUUAAGGCUCACUUGAUUGGAUACCCUGGGGAGCCUGGCCAGUCCUUUGUAAUGAUAAAUACUUAGUUCCUGAGCCAGGUCACAGGCUCACCCUAUUCAAACACAGACAUACACUUAAGACAGGAUUUGUGAAGGAAAAGACAAUGGGGAGGCUUUUCCAUUUUCCUUUGACCUUGCAGAGAAAACAUUUGGUCAGUUUGGGAAUCAAAAAUGGUUUCAGGUGCUGUGCUGUGCUGUGCUGAUCUACGUACGUGCUUGGUUGGUAUAUUUAUUAUAUACCUAAGACCUUAAAAUUCUUAUCACAGAACCAAUGGUCUGACUCAGAAAAAGGGAAGAUUGCUAACCUUGAGUCCUCAGAUGCUGCUGCCCUACAAUUCUCACCAGCCCUGGCCAUCAGCUAAGAUGGCUGCAGAUGAUGGGCAUUGUAGCCCAACAACAUCUGGGACUCCAGGCUGAAGAACAUUAGUUUAGGGAGUGCAUGAAAGACAACGUGCCACACUUUGAGCAGGUGGUCUUCUCACCUUUCUAAAGCACAGCAUGCAUGCAUGCAUGCAUCUGUAUUUAUACCGACCGAUUCACCCUCCAUCUUGCUUCCCAACCACAACAUUUAGGAUCACAGAAAUGUAGAGUAGGAAGGGACCCCAAGGAUCCUCUAGUCCAGCCUUUCUCAACCUGUGGGUCCCCAGAUGUUGUUGGACUAUAACUCCCAUCACCCCUAGCUAGCAAGGCCAGAGCUCAGGGAUAAUGGGAUUUGUAGUCCAACAACAUCUAGGGACCCACAGGUUGAGAACCGCUGGUCUAGUCCAACCUGCUGUAAUGCAAGGAGUUCAACUAAAGCAUCCAUGACAGAUGGUCAUCCAACCUCUGCUUAAAAGCCUCCAAGGAAGGAGAGUCCACAAUCUCCCAAAAGAGUCCACCCCACUGUCGAACAGCUCUUACUGUCAGAAAGUUCUUCCUGGUGUUGAGUCAGAAUCUCCUUUCUUGUAACUUGAAUCCAAUGGUUCGAGUCCUACCCUCCAGAGCAGGAGAAAACAAGUUUGUUCCCACUUCCAUGAAACAGCCCUUGAGAUAUUUGAAGAUGGCUAUCAUCUUUCCUCUCAGUCUCCUCUUUUCCAGGCUAAACAUACCCAACUCCUUCAACCGUUCCUCAUAAGCCUUGGUUUUCACAAAUGCAGCUACCACACUGUGCCAGGGAACUGAGAAGUUAGUGGUGUCAGUGGUGCUGAGCAAUAGGUGCCUUCCACAAAGCUGUGUUUGUGAACUUUCCCCAGGUCAAGUUCAUCCCUACUUUCAGUGAGAGUUCUAACAACCAAGAGGAACAAAGUCUUUGUUCCAUCAAGACCCGCCUCUGUAAUAUUUCUCUAUAACCCAUCUUUCACUCUCGGAAAUGUUCCCAUUGAUUUCAGGGAGAGCAGAUGGAGGCAUUGUGUACUCAUGACAGAGCCCAGUUGGAUUUCCUCUUUGGCGGGAAACAUCCUGUGAUAAACGCACACUACAAUAGCCCUAAGGCAGCUGCUGCUGCUCCUUUAUUUGACUGAAUGUUAAGCUCCUCAAACAAGACCCCCAGCAACAGCACAGAAAAGUGGAAGGUGAUAACAGGCAAGUCGAAAGACGAAAGCCAAUACCUCAUACAGCCAACAGGUAUAAGCGCACAUUGCAAUAUCAAAGACGCAAGCGGGGAGGGAAAAUAGUGUUUUUACAAGGUAUUGAUUGAAAACCAUGUCAACACUGUGAUUUCAGCAAAAUGACCGCUUUGUACAAGUCAUUACAAGCCAGUGAGAGGGAAAGGAUGUUAAAUACAGCAAGGGCCAGGGGACGUUAUUUCACAUUUCAGCAAAGAAGAUUUCGAGGGUGGAAAUUAUUGUCAGCAAGGCUUCAAAUAAUGCUGGCCCAAAAUCUCAGCUGCCAAAAGAAUAAUGGGAGCAAUAAGAGGAGGCAGCAUCAGUAUCCCUAGACCAUGGGUAGGCAAACUAAGGCCCGGGGGCCGGAUACGGCCCAAUCGCCUUCUUAAUCUGGCCCACGGACGGUCCAGGAAUCAGCGUGUUUUUACAUGAGUAGAAUGUGUCCUUUUAUUUAGAAUGCAUCUCUGGGUUAUUUGUGGGGCAUAGGAAUUCGUUCAUAUAUUUUUUUUCAAAAUAUAGUCCGCCAUCCGCCUCCAAGGUCUGAGGGACAGUGGACCAGCCCCCUGCUGAAGUUUGCUGACUCCUGCCCUAGAAAAACUAAAAUCUAAAUGUGCCUCUUUUAACUAGUUGCAUCUAUUUAUUUAUGCGUUUCCGUGCGCUCUGGCACUCGUCACGGUCCUCCGUGCGCCAGUAGCGGUUUAGUCAUGCUGGUCACAUGACCCAGAAAGCUGGCUGUGGACAAACGCCAGCUCCCUCAGCCUGAAAGUGAGAUGAGCACCGCAACCCCAUAGUUGCCUUUGACAGGAUUUAACCGUUCAGGGGUCCUUUACCUUUUUACCUUUACACAUUCCCUCCUGCUUCCUUACUGUGUUAUUCAAGUCAAUCAGGGAGAACAUACCAAGGAAGGCGACAUCACAAUGCUAUGCAACCAAUCAGUUUCACUACAAAAUGUAGUGAAUUGCCCUCUUGGAAAGUAGGGAAUGGAUUGCAUUCUCAAGGCAAUGGACCAACACCCACUCACCCUGUCUUCCAACAUUGUGUGUGCUCAGAAAAUAUCCCAGUUUUUAAGACCUGCGAAGUGACUGGAUAAAUCUGCCAAGACUCACUCUUGUCAAUGCCUAAAGACCCUAAUUCACAAGACUCCAAGAUUGUAUGCUUGUGAAACGCGGACCACUUAUAGACGUCAUCUCCAACUCCUUGAAAGAUUCCAUUAACGGUGUCUCCGGAAAAUUUUACACAUCACCUGGAAAGACAAGCAAACUAAUGAUGCAAAGUUCACCAGUGUCGAAGCAAUGAUUCUUCAACAUCAACUUCGUCGGACUGGUCAUGUUGUGCGGAUGCCUGAUUAUCGUCUUCCAAAGCAACUACUCUAUUCCAAACUUAAAAAUGGAAAGCGUAAUACUAGUGGUCAACAAAAGAGAUUCAAAGACUCUCUGAUGGCAAAUAUAAAAAAAAUGAGUAUAAACACUGACAACUGGGAAAAACUGGCAUGCGAGUGCUCCAGUUGGAGAACAGCCUUUAUCAAAGGUGUUCUGGGCUUUGAAGAUGCUUGAACUCAGGACGCAAGGGAGAAACAUGCUAAGAAGAAGGCAUGCUUGGCAAACCCUCACCAUGAUCAACUCCCACCUGGAAACCUAUGUCCCCACUGUGGAAGGACGUGUGGAUCCAGAAUUGGCCUCCACAGUCACUUACGGAAGUUCAUGGAAGACAAUCUUACUCGGCUAUGAGUGAUUGCCAAAGAAGAAGAGAUUGUUUGCAUUGUUAGGAGUUUUGGAGGGGUUCUAUUCUUGAGUAGCCAGGCUAGCUUCCUGGUGAGGCAAUGGGUCAUUAAGGGAACAAAGGAAGGGGCUCUGUGCAGGAUGAAAAAUGGGUGGGAGGCCCUCCCCCAACUCAUGGGUAGAUAGAAAGACAAAGGCAGGGUUGAGAGCAGAGAGUUUGGAGUGAUUUAAGCUAGAAGAAAAGCAGCAAGCUGAGAGACAGAGCGAUAUUUGAUUUCCAUUUGAAUCCAAACCUGUGGCUAUGAAGGAAACAAGGCCCUCUCAGGGAGUUCAUGCUGUGAAACCCCUCCAUUGCAGACUCAGGUUGUAUAUAUGUGUGAAUACACCAUAUAUCAUAAAGACUGCCCCAAAGGAAACACAAAACCUAGGUAACCCCUGGAAUCUCACAGCACUCAGAAAUUGGAGUGACUGUGCAGAAAUUGGAGUUUGUGAAAUGCAUAUCCGCUGAGGAGGCUUGCUAACAGAUUAAUAUCGUGAGAGCCCUAUGCUCACAGUUUUCCCUGCAGUUAUUUAUUCCAUUUUGGACAGCAGUCACGUCUGCCAGGAACUAGGCAAUGACCUUGCCUGGUCAAGAGCUUCUCAUUAAUGCCCCAAAUGUAGACCUGUUCAAUAAGAAAGAUUAAAAAUGUGAUAAAAGAUCUUUGCAGAAAUUGAACUUGUGUGACGAAGCAACAAUAUCUUGGGGAAAGAGUCUUGACCUUCAAGUUAACUGCUGUAACAGGCAAUAGAUUUGCUAAUCAUUCCUCUGGUAAGGAAUUUAGUAUCCUGGGGUCAGCAGAAAUCUUCAGUUAAGGAUCCAAAUGCUAUUUUCUUUCUCUCUUUACAAAUGUCCAUGCAGAGAACUAGGGGGCAUGAGCCUGAAAAGGUUAAGCCCUUUUAAUUUCCAUUGAUUUAAAAAUCUGAAACACACCCACACCUACUGAAGAGCUAUAGUGCUUUUACUCUGCAUGCAGAAAGUUCCAUGUUCAAUUUCUGGCAUUUCCAGGUAGAGUAUUUUAUUUUUAAAAAUGCCUGUUUAUAUUGCAGCCUUCUAGAUUGCCAUUCCUGGAGUAACAACUCUUUAGGAUGAACUCAAAUGCCCAACUGCGUGUAGUAGUUAUUUUAAUUAUUUACCAUGUUCCAUACAUAUGCAUAUUCUUAUAUUUAAUGGAUAACCAUUUUUUUAUUUUUGUCUUAUGCUUUCAAGAUUUAUGGGAAUAACCCAUUCUAUUUUUGAGAAAAAGAGGUGCUGGGACUCUUAGAGGUUCUCUUAGAAUGGCAAUGGCACUCACUUGAGAUGUGCCAGAACUGAGUUCCGGCUGUGGAAAAAAAGGCCUUGGAAAUAACAUAUUCCUGAAAGGAAGAAAAAAACGGAAAGAAAAAUUGGAAGGGAAUUAAUGGCUGCCAUUCACAAAUAAUUCUCCAGUUUUUUUCUGAAGAAGUAUGAAAUAAAAUCCUGGAGAUCUUGUUAUUAUUAUCUGUACUAUUUGAAGAACUGCAUUUUUUUAUAUAUGGUGACUAGUUUGGAUAAGUUGUAUUUGUAAUUCUGUAUUUUAUUUACAUACACUAGCAUACGUUUGCAUUCAACUUUCAAUAAUAAUCUUCAUUUUAUUGUCAUUAGGGUCCCUACGACUUUAUCUUUCUAUUAUUGGGUAUAAAAAAUUUUUAAAAGCCAGUGUGGUGUAAUGGUUAGAGUGUUAGACUAGGACCUGGGAGAGCAGGAUUCGAAUCCUGACUCAGCAAUGAAGCUCACUGGGUGACCUUGGGCCAGUCAACAUCUCUGAGCCUAACCUACCUCACAGAGUUGUUGUCAGGAUGAAAUGGGGAGGAGGAGAACCAUGUAUAUCACCUUGAAUUCCUUGGAAGAGAAAGGUAGCAUACCAGGGUUGCCAUAUUUCAAAAGGUGAAAAGCUGGACACAAAAGUUGUUCAGCUUCUUUUGGCAAGAUCUCAAAAAAAAAAAAAGUUUUUAAGCUAUUUUAAAGGAAAUUCGCCAAAAUCUACAGAUCCCACUUCCGACAUGGGUUGCCAUAUGUCCGAAUUUUUAGCGAUUUAAGUGAUUUCUGCCUGGACACUGUUUCCGAUGGUUGAAUCCUGGCAAUGUCUGGAAAGUUCUGGACGUAUGGCAACCCUAAGUAUACAAAAGGAAGGAAGGAAGGAAGGAAGGAAGGCUGCUUCCUAUGUUCCUAAAUCCCUGAAGCUUAGAGUGCUUAACAUUUAGCUGGAUUAUAUGACAUAUAUGAGCAGAGUCUUUUUUGUGGUAGCCCCAAUAUCAAGGAACAUUUUUCCAAGAGACAUUUGUACAGACUCCUGCCUGCUGGCUUUCUGAAGGCAGGUAAAAACCAUUCCUGUCCUAGCUUUGAGGUCCAGCUUUUGUUAUGCUUGCUCUAUAUUGAUUUUCCUUUCAUUUCAUUUCAUUUCAUUGCCGUUCUACUCCGUUUUACGGUUCUUGUUUUUCAUUUGUGUUUUAUUACUUCAUUGUUCGAUUGCGGUUUGCUUUACUCGCUUACGAAAUCCUUGUCAGCAGCGGGCGCUGCAGACACAACUUUUAAUCAAUAAGGAACUAUGAAAGGCUUCCAUUCUUGCUUUCAAGUAUGUCACACUAACGUUUAUUUCAGGUGAGGAGUUUCUGCUGUACAUCAGUUGAAAACUGGGAAAUGAAAGAUAAAUCUGGCUGGAGUCAAGGCCCAUGGAGAGCGUCGCCUUUUCAAACAGAAUUCUCAAUUUAGUUGAAAGCACUGAAGAAUUUCAUUACACUUAAAGCAGCGCCAUGUGGGAAGACAACUUGCUGGAACGCCACUCCCAGGAGAAUCAGGUGACAGAUCCCAGAAGAUUUUUCUCCCCCUGCUGUUCAAUGAAUAGAGUCAUUGGAGCCGUAAUAUUUUAUUGAUAGAUACUUGGAUGCAGAAAGCAAAGACAGAGAGGUAGACUAGUCAAAAUACAAGUUAAAAUAGCUGGCAUUUUUCAUAAAGAGGGGGAGGGCGGAAUGCUGCGUGGCAGCUAACUAGUUUUAUUUGAGAAUAAAAAUUAGAGAGAGGAAAAUGCUCUCCCUUCUUAAUAAUGCCUCUCCUUCAAUGAAUGUCCAAUUAAGGACAAAAAUAAACGUACAGAAAGCAAUCAGUGCUAAUCAUACUCCGCCUCUGAAAACAUCCAGCAGAACUCCUUAUGGCCCAAUUAGAUGAGCCCGGCAGCCUGAGAUUAUGCUUGUUUACAUGGAAGUAAGCUCCACUGAGUUCAGUGGGACCAGUCACUGGUACAAGUGCUGGAUUGGGCGGGGGUGUGUGUGCGGAUAUACAUUUGUUAUGUAUUUCCAUAUCCUCCAACAUUUCUCUGAUGAAAAUAGGGAAGACCCUUUGCAUAAUGAUAAUUUUACUAUUUGUACCCAGGUUAAGAACAGUUUGAGGUUAAGAACAGACCUCCAGAACGAAUUAAGUUCUUAACCCGAGGUACCACUGUAUUCAGCCAUGAAACAGGUGGUGGACUCAUCUUCCUUGAGGUUUUAAGCAGAGGUUGGAGGGCCAAAAGUCAUGGAUGUUUUAGCUGAGAUUCCUGCCUUGCAGGGGGUUGGACUAGAUGACCCUCGAGGUCCCUUCCAGCUCUACAAUUCUGUGAUUCCAGAAUACUCAUAAUCCUUACAAAACACAAUUUUAUAGUAAUGAGAAAGAAAAAGAAAAACGGGGGGAACUAAAAAACAAACAAAGACCCUUUAUCACAUUUAUGUCAUAUAAUAUCGGGGGGGGGGACCAGAUAAAAACAAGAAAAACUUAUUUCUUCCUAUGUGACAUUUAUCUGUCAAGUGAUAAAGCUUUGGAUUUGGCUCCACCUUCUGAUGUGAUAGGGGAUGUGGGUGGCGCUGUGGUCUAAACCACAGAGCCUAGGACUUGCCGAUCAGAAGAUCAGCGGUUCGAAUCCCCAUGACGGGAUGAGCUCCCGUUGCUCGGUCCCUGCUCCUGCCAACCUAGCAGUUUGAAAGCACAUCAUGUGCAAGUAGAUAAAUAGGUACCACUCCGGUGGGAAGGUAAAUGGCAUUUCCGUGUGCUGCUCUGGUUUCGCCAGAAGCAGCUUAGUCAUGCUGGCCACAUGACCCGGAAGCUGUCUGCGGACAAGCGCCAGCUCCCUCGGCCUAUAGAGUGAGAUGAGCGCCGCAACCCCGGAGUCGUCCACGACUGGACUUAACAGUCAGGGGUCCCUUUACCUUUUACCUUCUGAUGGGAUGGAGUCCCCUGAAAGCCCCGUCCUUCCGGUGCCUUAACCAGCAGUGGGAAAUCUGUGGUCCUCCAGUCAUUGUUGGACUCUAACUACCAUCAGCCCCAGCCAACAUGACCAAUGGUCAGGGGUGAUGAGAGCUGUCGUUCAGCAACACCUGGCGGGCCACAGGUUCCCCACCCCUGCCCUAAACUCCAACCAUGUAGCAGAUUUUUAAAAAUAUCAAAGUUGGCAGCCCUAUGCUACAGGCCUGACUCAAAAAAUCUCCUGAGCAUCAUGUGCUUGCAAUUAAAUGAGCAACGUAGCACAGAACCCUGACAGCGCUGCAGCUGUAGCAAUUACCUGGCAGCAAUUGCCAGAACUGCAGCUGUGCUUUUUCAAGCCGCGAAGCUCGUGGGAAAUCGCGACUGGAUUGCUGACGGGUGGGCCUUGUUCAACACAGCAAGGACGGCCAGGAUGCAUCGCAAAUAACAGAGUCCAGCGGCACAAAACUAGCCCCAAGAGGGAAGGGUACAUAAGCGAAGUCAGACACAGUUUUGCUUUCCCAAUAAAUAAUAGUGAGAAAGCGCCACCCCUGUGUCAGAGCAAAGGCCUGUCUAGUCCAACGUCUUAUUUUGCUCACUGGCCAGCCAGUGCCCAUGAGAAUCUCACAAGAAGGUGUCACCCUACAAUGGGGGUCUGGAAAUAUGCCAGUCCUCUUUAGACAAAAUAAAGCGUCUCCACCCCUAUCGUUCUACCCAGACACUGAGGUCCAGCACCAAGGGCCUUCUGACGGUUCCCUCACUGCGAGAAGCCAGGUUACAGGGAACCAGGCAGAGGGCCUUCUCGGUAGUGGCACCCGCCCUGUGGAACGCCCUCCCAUCAGAUGUCAAAGAGAAAAACAACUACCAGACUUUUAGAAGACAUCUGAAGGCAGCCCUGUUUAGAGAAGCUUUUAAUGUUUGAUGCAUUACUGUAUUUUAAUAUUUUGUUGGAAGCCACCCAAAGUGGCUGGGGAAGCCCAGCCAGAUGGGCGGGGUAUUUAUUAUUAUUAUUAUUAUUAUUAUUAUUAUUAUUAUUGACAGUAUGUCAUGGAAAGAUCAGCUUCAUUGUAAUUCAAAAAGCUGGGCAGCAAAUACAAGAGUUCAAGGCAUCUAUAUAGCAUUCUGAAUACAUGAAGCCCUCGUGCCCAUAUCAUCUCUGCAAUAUUAUUGGUUGCAGCAGUGGUUUUCAACCAGUCUGCUGUAGUACCCUGGGGUGCCUUUAAUGAUGGUCAGAGGUGCUGCUGGCAACACUGUCCUCUGUCCCUCCUUCCUUCCCUCCCUCCUCUGAUGCCCUCUCGCAUCUCUGCCUCCCAAAGGCUUGCACGGCUGUUUGUUGCAGCAGCCCUGGCUACAAGCUCUGCAGGCAAAUGGUGCCUCUGGGGCUGGUCAGGGGGUGCUGGUUGCCAGGAGCUGAGGCAGCCUCGGAGUAAGCAAGCAAGCGGGUGAGGGAGCCCAGCCCGCCAGCCAUUGCUGUUGGGAAUGGACAGGCAAGUCCCAUGACUCAGCUACACAGCUGCAAAUUAAACGUUUUAAAUGUGUUGUAAAGUGCAAUAUACAAAUGGCGAGAGUGAGCUAUGCAAAAUUCAAUGUGUUUUUCAAAACUUUUUUUUUAAAAAAGCAUUUCCACAGCGUUUUUUUAAUAUGUGUGUAGAUUCUUAUCCAGGCCCCUGUGGAACAGUGUUAGGAGGCACCUGUCUUUGGGGCAGGGGAGGCAGCUCAGAGACCAGGGGUGGCGGCAGCAGCUGCCCAGAAGGCUCCCAAAUUGAGGGUAAAGGGAAAGGAGGCUGAGGGAACACUCCACAAGGGAGUGUUCAAAAAAGGGUGAGAAGGUGACAUAACUGGGGUCUUGAGCCCAACAGGGGUGCCACAGAAAGAAUGUAGUUGGUUAAGGGAGCUGUGGACUCAAAAAGGUUGAAAGGUUACAGCAACACGUGAACAGCUCUUGUCUGGCCUUCAAAAUAGACAUUCCAUAUUUGGAGUUGUUUCGUACCUAAGAAACUCUCAUUAUCUUUAUCAAGGUGUCAUCCUCAAUCAUCUUCCAGCUGGCUCUGGUCAGCCUAAUUGAAUCUGUACCAGCCUCUCCUUUACUGGUGUGCAUUCCUAAACUCUGUUAAUGGGGCAGGGGGCCUUGGAGGCUCUCAUUGCCUGCUGAUCAUGGCACAGCUUUGGUUAACUGAAAAGCAAAAGAAUACAGGAAUUCAGAGAAAAGGCACAAUUCUGAACUGGGCAGUGGCUACAUGGCUACAAAGGCAAUUACAGUCAUACCUUGGGUUAAGUACUUAAUUCGUUCCGGAGGUCCAUUCUUAACCUGAAACUGUUCUUAACCUGAAGCACCACUUUAGCUAAUGGGGCCUCCCGCUGCUGCCGCGCUGCCGGAGCACGAUUUCUUUUCUCAUCCUGAAGCAAAGUUCUUAACCUGAAGCACUAUUUCUGGGUUAGCGGAGUCUGUAACCUGAAGCAUAUGUAACCCGAGGUACCACUCUGGGUGGCUUCCAACGGAAUACUAAAAUAAAAAUAAAACAUCAAACAUUAAAAACUUCCCUAAACAGUGCUGCAUUCAGAUGUCUUCUGAAAGCCAGAUAGUUGUUUAUUUCCUUGACAUCUGAUGGGAGGGUGUUCCACAGAGAAGGCCCUCUGCCUGGUUCCCUGUAACCUCACUUCUCGCAAUGAGGGGACCACCAGAAGGCCCUCGGAGCUGGACCUCAGUGUCCAGGCAGAGUGAUGGGGGUGGAGACGCUUCUUCAGGUAUACUGGGCAGAGGCCGUUUAGGGCUUUAAAGGUCAGCAACAACACUUUGAAUUGUGCUCGGAAACAUACUGGGAGCCAAUGUAGAUCUUUCAGCGCUGGUGUAAUAUGGUCUUGGUGGCCACUCCCAGUCACUAGUCUAGCUGCUGCUAGACAUUAUGAAAAUGAUUCAUUCAUACACUGCUUCUUUUCUGUCCCAAAGGCCUCCAAACUCUAGCAGAGUUUGUACAGUGGUACCUCGAGUUACAUACGCUUCAGGUUACAUACGCUUCAGGUUACAGACUCCGCUAACCCAGAAAUAGUACCUCAGGUUAAGAACUUUGCUUCAGGAUGAGAACAGAAAUCGUGCGGCGGCGGCAGCAGGAGGCCCCAUUAGCUAAAGUGGUGCUUCAGGUUAAGAACAGUUUCAGGUUAGGAACGGACCUCCAGAACGAAUUAAGUUCUUAACACGAGGUACCAUUGUAGUACCGUAGAAUACAAUAAAAUCCCAUAAAUCAACUAGCAAGCAAAGCAACACAAGGCAACUGAAUCACAAACUGGGAGAGUCAAAAGAAAACCUUUCCCAGAUAAAAGAUUAAUGGGUGAUCUCACCAACCCUGUACAUCGCAACAUAACGGUAAAGGUAAAGGGACCCCUGACCAUUAGGUCCAGUCGUGGCCGACUCUGAGGUUGCGGCGCUCAUCUCGCUUUAUUGGCCGAGGGAGCCGGCGUACAGCUUCCGGGUCAUGUGACCAGCAUGACUAAGCCGCUUCUGGCAAACCAGAGCAGCGCGCGGAAAUGCCGUUUACCUUCCCGCCGGAGCACCUACUUGCACUUUGAUGUGCUUUCGAACUGCUACAUAGGCAGGAGCAGGGACCGAGCAACAGGAGCUCACCCCAUUGCGGGGAUUCGAACCACCGACCUUCUGAUCAGCAAGUCCUAGGCUCUGUGGUUUAACCCACAGCGUUACCCACGUCCCUUGCACAUCCCAACAUACUUAGCGGCUAGACAUCUAAGCAGACAAUGAGUUACACCACCAACUACAAGAAUUAAGGGUGUUCUCACCACCCACAUAUUUGUCAUUUAGGCUUUAAAGCUGGAGCUGGAAUUCAUUUUUAUAUUAAAAACAAAGCUGUGUGCGGACCUCCCAAUCCACACUGUGGCCCUGAUCUGCGGCUCAUGUUAACAUGGUUCUGUUCUUAUUUAAACUGCCAAUUUAGAAGCUUAUGCAGAAGCAACUCUCCAAAGGGGUUCUGGUUUGGUCCUCCAUUCCAUUUAACACCUACUUGAACAAAUAAUCUGACCCGCAAAAUACCUCCCCCAAUGACUGCACACUUACUGAGGUUACGGGACAUUUUUAGUGGUGACUCCACAUCUGUGCAAUCUGUUGCCACUUAAGAGUCACAUAGUCCCAAACCCUGACGCCCUUUCAGGCAUGCUGUUGAAACAUUAUUAUUAAUAUUAUUAUUAUUAUUAUUAUUAUUAUUAUCUCAAGCCUUUCAUCUGCGGUGAGAGUUUACUUGAUUGGUGUUUCCCUGCUGGUGGUAAAACAAGAAAAUAAAAGCUCUCGAUUCCGUUAUCUUUGAGGUUUUCCUUACUGUUUACAGUUUAAAUUGGGGUGGGGGGGUUCCCAGUGAUUUUUUUUUAAAAAAAGGUUUUUCACCAUUUUUCAGAGCUCCUAUGAAUCGAAAAGCGGAUUAUAAAUUUUCAAAUUAAACGAAUAAGUGAAAUAAAACCGAGUCAGCUUCUCACCCCAGGCUAAUAUCAUCACAAAGCAUCCUGCAUUAAUUGAGGCCCCACAGGGCAGUUGUGUUUACAAGCCAACACAAUUUUUCAUCGCUAACUGGAUCAUUAACACAACAGUGUGUGAAGAAUAGCGCUCUAUGCAAUUCAAUGUGCGCUGAAAAUCACCUCAGAGGGCGUCAGCAGUCUCUCCUUUACCUCUGCCAGGAUGCAGAAAAUUAUACCGUUGGCUACCAGCAUCCCAGGAUGAAGCUUGCCAUGCAUUAUAUAUAUAUUUGAGACGAAAAGGUUAGAGGGAUCAAUUUAUAAUUUAAUUAAGCUCAAACCUCUAGACUCUUUCCUUACAAGGUUAAAAAUACAACUUUACCUUAGACUCUCCAGGCACGCCAUGUUUUAUUUCAAUCCAUAAUAAGAUAAUAUUUAUGUUGUUACUUGAGGGACAGUCGUUUUUCACUCGACGCCCUCAGCAAAAGGCCCAAGUAAACAACUUUGCUGAACACAGAGUUUCUUCCAUUAAACAUAAAUAAAUGUUUCCACAUUUUCAGGUUUGUGGCAGAAACCUACUUCUUUUCGCACUCAUACCGCUAGGACCCGCAGUCAGCCGAUUUAACUGAUUGGCAGGAGAGCCAGACAAAAGUGAAGGACUUCUUCAUGCAGUGGGUAACAACUUUGUGGAAGUUGCUGCCACAGAACGCAGCAAUGGGCAGUAGUUUCGGUGGCAUCGAAAGGGGAUUAGAUGAAUUCAUGAAGGACAACCGCAGAUAGACUUACUAGCUCAGGGGUAGCCAAUCUUCUGCUCUCCAGAUGUUCUUAAACUCCAGCUCCCAUCCACCCCAGCCAUCAUGGCCCAAUGAUCAAGGAUGAUGGCAGCUCUAGUCCAGCAGCAUCUGGAGAGCAACACAUUGGCUACUUGGGGUUGUUUCCAAAGCAAUGCACAGCAGAACUUCUGUUUCCUCCUCUGCUGCCUGCCCACCAAAUCUUGUCCAGAUGGUCUUCUAAUCCUCUGGAGCUGAUGUUGAGGGUGCACAGGGAGAUGCAGGAGAAAGGAGGGUGUUAAGUAUAAUUGUUUAAUUCUCACUGAAAUGGAGAAUGCCUAAAUGUGUAUUACUGAAGGCUUCAUCCUGGGGAUUUUCCAUGGGGCUAUAUUAAGCUCUCUGGGUUCCUAGAUGGGUUGAUACUUAAUUGUUAUUGUUCUCUGCUAGCUCUGACAUAGUGUUUUUUCUUUUAGCUCUGGCAUAGUGUUUAACCGUAGAUCAGGUGACAAAGGUAUUUGGCUGCAAAUCUCCAUUUUGAAACCUGAUCUCCAUUUGCCACUUGAUCUAGAUUAAACACUCACGUGUUAGCUAGCAGAAAUCAGCAAUAGUUACUUAUCAACCCAUCUAGGAGCUCAGAGACCACAAUAUACAUCAGUAAAAUUUCUCCACAUUAAAACCUUCAGUAAUACACAUUUAGGUAUUCCCCCAUUUCAGUGUCAAUUAAACAAUUAUGCUUAACGAUGGAAUCCCAGAAUAAUCACAGCUUUCAUUGCGGGAGGCCAAGGCUGCACAAGGAAGAGUGGCAGAAAGCAGUGGUUCUUUGCAACACAGCAUGAGAGGAGAAUCUCCAUGGCUGGCUGUUCAGAACAUCCUUCCAGAGCAGUACCCAAGGGCAAAUGUCCCAUUUACCCAACUGGACGGAAAAAACCUUCAGUCCUGCUCUUUGGAAAAAGACACCUGCUUUGGAGCUCCAAGGCUAAGUUUAAGGCAUUGCCUCCAGGAGAAAAUGAUUGUGAAUCCCUUUAAAGAGCAACAUGGCAUUACUUGAUGGGCAUUCUUCUUCUCCAGGGGAGACAUGGCGAGAGGUCUGAUGGCGACAUUUUAAUUUUCCUUUCUCAUUAGCUGCUUUAUGCCAAAGCUGGCCGUGUUUUUGUGUGUGGGAGAAGCCACACUUGCUACGUUCGGGCACGCUGCCUUAUUAGCGACAAAAUUAUUUGUGUUUCUCUUCUCUUUGCAGAGCUGGCCGCCAAGAGGUGUUUGUGCAUGAUCGCUUCCCCACUCAAUUUGUUAUUGUAAUUGCUGCCAUUGCCAUUUUUAAAAUUAAGCGAAUAAAAGCCAAGAUUGGUACCUGGCGUAGCAGUGAUCAGAGCAAUAGAACAGGAAGGCAUAAACUUGGAGAUGUUAAUUCAAGGUUGCCUGUUAUAGCCAGAACAGGCUAUAAAUAACCAGAUAAGAUGGGGGAGAAUGCCCUUAAACCUCAGAAGAAAUUCAUUCUUUUGUUUUCAGAACAUUAGGGAGGUUCUUUUUCCAUUUUUCUCCCUCUGUGUUGAUAUCCUUGAUUGAGAGCAGUCAAAGCAAAGCCAGCACUUCACUUCUGAAACUGGGAAAAGCUGCACAGAAUGCUAAUUCUUUUAUCAGUCCUUUCACACGUGGAGCAUCAAAACCGAAAACCGGUAGCAUCUGAGGCAUUACACUCCCUAUUUAACUGCUGUGAACUCUUUGCCAUAAUUAAAACCACCUUGGUACCCAGUGCUGGAAGCCCAUCAGAUCCUGGCUGUCUCUUCAGACAAGUUCCAAGGAAAUGGCUGAGAUUGAGGAAGCAUCUAGUGACCAAUAUGUUAUAAUCCUGUGAUGGCCAAUUAUAAGCAAAGAUCCACAGUGGAUUAUUCAGUCGGCCAGCUGAACACUACUAACUUCAGAAUAAUAGCAGCUUUUUGAUAACCACAGAACAAAAGUGGGCCAUGAAAUGCUUCCCUUCCAAGUACUCAAAGUACAACAACAACAACAAUGUCAUUAAUUAUAUGCCGCCCAUCUGACUGGCUUGCCCCAGCCACUCUGGGCAGCUCCAAACAGAAUAUUAAAAACACAAUAAAACAUCAAGCAUUAAAAACUUCCCUGAACAGGUUUGCCUUCAGAUGUCUUCUCAACCUCAGAUAGUUGUUUAUUUCCUUGACAUCUGAUGGGAGGGUGUUCCACAGGGCAGACACGACUUCUUGCAGUGAGGGAACCACCAGCAGGAGCUGGACCUCAGUGUCUGGGCUGGACGAUGGAGGGGGAGACGCUCCUUCAGGUAUACAGGAUGGAGGCUGUUUAGGGCUUUAAAGGCCAGCACAAACACUUUGAAUUGUGCUCGGAAACGUACUGGGAGCCAAUGUAGAUCCUUUAACGCAAAGGAGUAUUUACUUGGACAUCAAUAUAGGGCUAUUUAGUAUAGAGAAAAAGUAAGAGGUGACAUAAGUUUAUAAAAUUAUACAUGGCAUGAAGGGAAUGCAUUAUUUUCUCCGCUCUGAUAAAAAUGGCACUAGUUGGCCUCUGUGAGAACAGGAAUCUGGACUAGAUGGGCCAGUGGCCUGAUCCCACAGACUCUUCUUAUAGGUCGAAUGACAAGGGGGCCACCCAUGCUCAGAGAGUGUCCCCACGUGCAACAUCUUCCCCUUGAUCUAAGUGGAGGGAGUAGGGAUGAGCAUAUGAACUUAUGCCUUCCACUGAAGUGAAUGGGGAAGGAACAUAUGUCGGGAUCUCCGCUUGGCCAAGCUGAUAAAGGUCAUUUUCUUCCCCCAAGUCUUCGGAAUCGCCUCUCGGCGAAUAACGACCUGAGCCUUUGAUGAGGCUCCAAGGCACGUUCCAUUCAGCAGAGUUUCCAGCACAGGAAAGAGACGAGAGGUUUGGGCUACAUUGUAAAGAGUUUAUUUCUAAGCUACGCAGACAGAAAAAACAUCCUCUCUCUAUGAAAGAAGAGCAACUGAACAAAGGAAACAGGAAACCACUAAUGUCACAUCCUGUCUCCUUUCCCGUGAGACUGGAAGGUCUCUGGAAUGUAAACAGAGUCCUGUGACUCCAAGCAGCUGAACAGUGAUAAGAACAGAAACUAACACCAUAUACCCCACUCAGUAGCCAGACCUAACUUGGGUGAAUCUACCCAUUCAGGACCAAACAAGACCAUGAUGAUAAACCACAUGGUGGUCCCUUGAAUGUUUGCUUUUUCUUUAUCAAACACUUGUCAUGGGCAAAGUGCUCUGGUGUGAGACCAUGGUUCACUUUACCCAUGAACAUGGCACUAAUCCAGAUUACACUUACACACACACACACACACACACACACACACACACACACAGUUAUUCUUAAAGUGAAGAAGAAUAAACUAUGCAAGGGCCAAUAAUGUGAUUGUGAGCAAUCAUUUCUUUGAGUAAAAUCUUUCCAUAGGAUCCUUACCAUAGGAUUACCAUAGGAACUAAUGCCAGUGUACUGGAAGAAGCAAAGAUCACCAGUGUCGAAGCACUGUCUUCAACAUCAACUUCGUUGGACUGGUCAUGUUGUGCAGAUGCUUGAUUAUCGUCUUCCAAAGCAACUACUCUAUUCCGAACUUAAAAAUGGGAAGCGUAAUGCCAGUGGUAAACAAAAGAGGUUUAAAGACCCUCUCAAGGCAAAUCUAAAAAAAAAGGUAGUAUGAACACACAACUGGGGAACAUUGGCCUGUGAGCACUCCAAUUGGAGAACAGCCUCUACCAAAGGCUUUGAAGACGCUCGAACUCAGGACAAAAGGAAGAAACGUACUAAGAGGAAGGCAAGCUUGGCAAACUCUCACUGUGAUCAACUCCCGCCCGGAAACCCAUGUCCCCACUGUGGAAGGACGUGUGGAUCCAGUAUUGGCCUCCACAGUCACUUACGGACUCCCUGUUAAGACCUUGUUUACGGAAGACAAUCUUAGUCAGCCACAACUGAUGGCCAAAGAUUUAUAGUGAAGAAGAAAUUAUGCAAGGGCCAAUAAUGUGAUUGCGAGUAAUCAUUUCUUCGCGUAAAAUCUUACCAUAGGAUCCUUUUUGGAUAUUCCGCAUUACACUGCAUUUGGAGGAGCCCCCCCCCCCCUGUGUGUGUGUGUGUGUACAUCCACACAUUUACCUCCAGAUAUUUCUGGACUACAACUCCAUUGCUCAUGCUGGUGGGGGGUGAUGCAAAUUAAGAGUCCAACAACAUCUGCAGGGUCACAGAUUCUCCUCUCAUAAUAGAAAAUAUAUCUAUCUGCACAUAGAUAUCUAGUGCAUUUCUAAAUGGGAACUAGUACAGUAAAAAUAGUAUUAUUAGCUAAGUUUUACUCAGAGUAGAACCACUGAAAUUAGAAAACGUGAUUAAGUUAGGUCCAUUAAUUUCAACAGGACUAUUUAACUCAGUAAACCUGAGUUGAGUAACAUUCAUUAUAUGAGCAUUUGCCAUGAAUAUAUCUGACACCUUGUACAAAACAAUAUCCGGCUUAUUACGGUGUGUGACAACCCCUCCCCGUUGCUAGAAAGAAGAAUCAGGAAACAAUGUGGGAGAACAACUAUUCUGUUAAUCAACACAGAAAAUGUUAAAUCCUAAUGUUAGAAACAUUUGUGCCACCUUGCUGGAAAGGAUAUUCACUUUAAUAAGCAACUUUUGGAUGUGCAUGGGCAAAAACUGAAGAUUUAUUUUAAUUUCUUGCUUUAAAUGUCAUUUAUUUUCAUCACAGUGAUGACUUGUCAGAAUGCACUCCAAGCGCAUCUCACCAUCCCCCCCCCCUCCAAUGAAGAUAAAUGCCAAGCUGAAAUAAACAGAUGAGAGAAUAUAUUUAGAAUUCGGACGUUUAGCAAUACAGCUUUUUGCUUUUUUUUUUUUAAGGCUCGUUGUUGUGGGGGAGGCUUAGAGAAAUGUAAGAGGCAAGUUAUUUACUGUAGAUCUUCAGAAACAAAAUCUUGUUAUGAUGGCAAUUAUCUAGAUUAGCACAUGCGAGGCAGAAUUACGUAUUCAUCUAUCACAUGCUCAAGGAGGCUAUACAGGACAACCAGGCAGUGUUCUGUUGAUACUUAUUGCAGCGUAAUUCACUUUUAGACCAUUCCCAAUGCCAUUAUGCUUUGAAGCACCAAGUGGCUAAUCCUGUUGCUGGCUAGGGAUGGGGAACCUCCAGUUUGCAAGCCAGAGUUGGCCUAACAUGUGUCCCCAUGAGCCCGAGGCAACUUCUCCCAAACCAUGCCCAUCUGUCCCACACCUUAAGUCAUAUGUGAGGCAGAUAGAAACAUAGAAUUGUAGAGUUGGAAGGGACGCUGAGGGUCAUCAACCCCCUGCAAAGUAGGAAUCUCAAUACGUGGUCCCCCAAUUUGAAACCGUGCUGGCUCACACUUAGCUUUGCAAAGGCGCUAGCAGUUUUAUUGCUGCAUCACCAGGACGCCGCCCUGGUGGUGCAAUAAAGAAGAAGAGGAGGAGGAGGAGUUUGGAGUUGAUAUCCCGCUUUAUCACUACCCUAAGGAGUCUCAAAGCGGCUAACAUUCUCCUUUCCCUUCCUCCCGCACAACAAACACUCUGUGAGGUGAGGCUGAGAGACUUCAAAGAAGUGUGACUGGCCCAAAGUCACCCAGCAGCUGCAUGUGGAGGAGCGGGGAAGCAAACCCGGUUCACCAGAUUACGAGUCUACCGCUCUUAUAUGUGCCGAGUGGCUGACUUCCAGCACAUUUAUUAUUAUUAAAUGCAAACUUUCUUAUUUCAGGCAGUGGCCCAGUCUCACCAAUGAAAAAACAGAGAAAUGCGGACCCAGGGUGGUGCUUUCAAACACCAAGUAAAAAAUGGGCAUUCUGCAAUUUUUCCCCCCAGAAAAUGAAAUACUGCAAGUGCAUUUGCCUGCCUAAUGCUCACAACUCUACCAUAUAAUAUCCCAAUUUCCUCCGCUGAAUAGAAGCAGAAACCAUCCUUUUCAAAGAUGACAGCACCUCUGAAAUAUACCACCGUGGGCCAUGUUUUGCAAAAAGAGGAAAAAAAGGUCUUUCACUGCAACCAAAUGCUAUUUUCCUCCGUAACUGAAAAGCCACUGAAUGAACUGCUAAUAUUGCCGGUGCCUUCAGUCCUCAGUACCUUCUUUGGAUGAAUUACCAGGGUAAAUAAGCACACCAGAGGAAGAAAAUCUCAUCGGCACACAGGGCUGACAGUCAAGUGACACUUCGACACUCAGCAGCAGCACAAUUUCAGCUGCGAGGCUUUGAUGGCUCUGCAUUCAGUGCAAAUGUACUCCAGAAAGUCGGGGGGGGGCAGAAAUUAGAACAAGUAGCUUUUCCUUCUCUCUGCUUGAAGAAAACAGCAAGGUACAGCCUGUAUGAUGGAUGGUUUCUUACCUCGGAGCCUGUGGAAGAGUUGGGCUCUCACUUUGCAGAAGAAGGGAUUUUACUCUUGGAAUCCAUCCAAACUAAGGCUGCGAUCCAACUCAUGAGUAAGUUUCAUGGAAAUUAGUGAGAUUUAUUCUGAUGUUGGUCUGCACAGGAUCGGGCUGCAAAAGCCACCUUUGAUGUUAUACUUCCCCACACAAAGUAAGAUGUCUAGUGUAGUGUGUGUGCACAUUUUGACGCCACCAGAACUUUCAGUGUCCCAACGAUAUCGUAGGUUGAGGACAGUACUAAUGUACUUGGGGUAUAGUUGGGGUCAUACAAAGCCAUCUUAUACCGAGUCUGACCAAUUGGUCCAUCUACCCGGACUGGCAGCGGUUCUCCAGGAUUCAGAUGGAGGUCUCUCCAUCCUUGGGAGAUGCCAGGGAUCGAACCUGGAAGCUCCUGUAUGCUCUACCAGUGAAGUGUUGCCCUUUCCCGAAAUUAUUCAGCUGGAAUGACGAAGAAAACUCCCAGUGACAACCAGGAGUGUAUAUUUAGGCAAAAGAACUGUGAGCUCCAUUCCAUUCUGGUGCUCAAAACAGCUCCACCUUCCAGGCCCGAUUCUUCCUUCUUAGAAAGCUACUUUUACUUGAUUUGCAGUAUUGACUGCACUGUAAAUUCCCCCCUUCCUUUACCCACCUGUAGUUCUCACUCAGUCAAUAUUGUAAAUAAGGGGUAAGUGGGGAAAUCUCAGGUCAGGGGGCCAAAAGCAGUCCUCCAGGCCACUGUAUCUGGCCCUCAAAACCUUCUCUAGUUAUCUUCCACCCCAGGCCAUGCCCCUCACUGCUCCCUUGAGUCCUUCUGCUUGUGGCUGGAGAGCGUUCUUGAACUGUGGUUACAUCUCUUGCCUACUACAGCUGUUGCUCUACCUAUUUUUUCCUCUGGCCCCUGGAAAGUUUCCCAGGAGGAAAUGCAGCUCUCCCCCCC